rnacentral:rRNA from 1 species
UACGAAGGGUGCAAGCGUUACUCGGAAUCACUGGGCGUAAAGCGUGCGCAGGCGGUUUGCUAAGACAGGUGUGAAAUCCCUGGGCUUAACCUGGGAACUGCGCUUGAAACUGGGAGACUUGAGUGUGGCAGAGGGGGGUGGAAUUCCACGUGUAGCAGUGAAAUGCGUAGAUAUGUGGAGGAACACCGAUGGCGAAGGCAGCCCCCUGGGUUAACACUGACGCUCAUGCACGAAAGCGUGGGGAGCAAACAGG